AGGAGAUACCAGCAAAUAUGGCGACUGAAGAAACGUAAUCUGGCAGCAGUAACUGCUAUUUUCUCGAAACUCAUUGUCUUGAAUAUGAUUGCGGUUUCAAGAAAAUUUCCUACAGCUUGUCAUUUACAACUAUAAGGUAAAUAUUAAAGUUGCUCAUAAGAAAUGAAAAUAGAAGAAGAAGAAAAAAAUCCUCAUCAUUGUAAUGUGCAGAGUGAUUUUUUUAGAAUGCAUAUGCAGGUCUGGAUGUAUUGUUGUAAUGAAUAUGACCUGAAAGAGAACUUUUUUUCUGAAUAUGGAAAUUUUAAAUUUUACCAAGCUUUCUAAGAACCCAACAAACUUUUUUUUGUAAACAUAUUUCAUAUUUGCUUCUUCAGAAUAAUAAAAUUUAGUAGACAAGGAAACAUGUACUCAGUAUCAAUUAUUGAAAAAAUUUCAUUAAAAUUUAAAUACAGGAAGCUAAAAGGCUAUAGCACUUAAACUAUAAAAAUGAAUUACAUUAUGUCUAUUGUGUGUCUGUGUUGGUACAUGUGUUGCCAAAAAAAUCUGACCUGCAGUAAGAUGACUGACCUUGAAAUUGCCUUUGAUUUGCAUGUGACAUGGUGUAACAUGCUCAGAUAGCUUGUUGUUGUUGGACAAAUCAUUUAUUUAUCAUAUCAUAGGAAAGCGAUUCUAUAACAAUGCAGUAGAAGUGUUUAUGAACAGU
rnacentral:misc_RNA from 1 species